ACAGCGCAAUAGGAAGUCGUCCUGUUUCCUGCGGUGUCACUGGAGAGGAGAGGUACGAUUUCACGAGCUCCGUUCAUCUGAUGUUGAAUUGUUUUAUAGGCGUUCAUGUCAUGUUUAAAAGAUCAACUGUGAAAAAGUAUUCCAUAUGAUGUUAUAUUUGACCAUUAGUUCGAGUUAUCAAUAGGUUAAAUGAAGUUUAUUUGAGUGCUGUUAAUGGGUGUAUAGUAUAUUGCGUGAAAUGGCGGCCUGGUGUGUGCGUCACGAGUGAGAGAUGUGUUAGCGGCUAAGCAGGCAAAAGAGAAAGAUUUGCAGAUAACAGUACUUGUCUGUUUGUGUGUUUUACCGCACAGUGUGUGUGCGCUCUUUCCUGCGAUGUCACUAGAGAGGAGAGGCAAAAGAGAAAGAUUUGCAGAUAACAGUACUUGUCUGUUUGUGUGGUUUACCGCACAGAGGAGAGCGAGAGGGCGCUGCAAUUAAAUCCCCUUUGGCACAACCAGAUUUGUGUGGAAAAUCUUUUUAUUAACAUCAAAAUAACACAACGCAGAGGAAAAACCGCUACAAAACUGGUGCCGUGACCCAUCGAAUGGUUGAUCGUUGUCGACUGCUGGGAUUGCUGAUGUGGAGUUUGACCUGCUCUGAGCGGAGCUGGAGGCGAGACUGUUGGACUGGUGAGUUGUGGCUUAGCUGGAUCAGACGAGCACCGUGCUGGAUCAUUGAGGAUUGUCAUCAAUUAACUGGAUAAACUGGAUGAAGGUAUUUCUCAUCAUCACUUGACUGGGUUUUCAAUCAAAGAACUGUAAUACCAUAGUGAAAUGAAUCUUAUAUGAGGUUUAUCGACACUUAAAAGUUUUCGAAGAGUUAUAACACGGAUUAAAUGCUUUUUGCACAACAUUUCUGGGUUUUGAAAGUGAAAUGUGUGGGAGUCCAUUACCUAGAGCCAGUAAUUUUGAGUAUGCUCCUCGGGAGUCAGAAAUGCCAGGUCAAAUGAGUAACCUCAUAAAACAAAUUGGUAGUGAGAUUGGGCAGUCAAUCAGAGAAAGUAUGAUGAGAAAUGAAUUUCCAAAUUAUCCAUCUGCUAAGAAGUCUCAAGAACGUGUCAGUGGUCAUGUGAUUGAUCAAACAAAUCAUUUAUUUGUUUGAUCAAACAAAUCAUCUGUCAUUGAUGCAUCGAAAAUGAGCUUGAUCCUGAAAGCUGAUGGCAGCACCGCCACACUUUGAAUAUCUAUCUGAAUCAUCUCCUCUAAUCAUGGAAUGGGAAGACAUGAUGAGGGUAUAUUUGGAAAAAACUGGAUGUGACUGAUUCUGAUUGAUGAGAUAAUGAACAGAGUAAUGGGGCGGGCCAGAGAUGUAAUGAAAGUAUGGCUGCGCAAUGGUACAACGACUCCUACUGUUGACUCUGUCUUUUCCGGGACCAGAGCAGUUCAGGUAUCCCGUUAGCUGUCUUCUAUUCUGUGAGACCAUAUCCUAGAGAGAGUGCGUGGGAUUACUGGAUAAGACUAAAUAAGGCAGCCGAUGUUGCUGAGCAAAGUUUAAGAAGGGAAGGCAGAACUCUGGAUAACAGGAGCAAAGAGUUAGCAGUUAUGUUCAUUCGCAACUGUCCUGACAGAGAGUUAGCUUUUGUUUUCAAGUGUAAACCUGUACAGUCAUGGACCGCAUCAGAGGUACAAGAGCAACUUGAGUUGUUGAGAGAACGGAAGUUGUCCAAUCAAGCUGUCAAACAAUUCGCCACAGUUGUCUCGGAGCCAUAAGUUGAUGUGAUUCCCUUGCCUUCUAAGUCUGAACAGGGUGCAGGCGUGAAUGAUGAGAAUGCAUUGGGCAAAGUAUUGACUUUGCUGGAAAAAGCGUUAGUGUGCAACACUCAGUCUAUGCGGGGCCCUUGGUCUAAACAAACUGCGCCUAGGAUUCGGGAAUGCAGACUGUGUCAAAGCAGUGAGCACAGCACGACUGCUCACUGUCGAGUGUAUAACUUGUGUUUCAAGUGCUUUGCAGCUGGACACGUGAGCUACAACUGUGACAAAACUACGUCCAGGCUGGGCUCCGGUUGGCUAGAUGAAGUCACGCCACAGGGAAACUAGACAGCUCCCUUUGGGCAGAGGACGAGGUGGGGCUGUGUAGUAAUUCCUCUGGUGAGACUGAUAUUGAAUCUGUUUAUUCCUUCUUCUGUGAAAGUGUUGGCAAAACAAAAACUGUAAUUUUUCAGAGCAGCAUGCAGGUUGAUCAGAGUAGCAGUUUGUUUUAUGCGAGUGUGCUAUUACAGGACAGAGUUGAGCUUCAGGGGAUGUUGGACAGUGGCUCCAUGGCGACUACUUUGAGCGCUGAUGUGAUUCCUCAACUGAGAGACGCUGGGGUGCUGGACGAGGAUAUCCUGAGCUCUUCAGAUAUUGUUUUGGUAGGUUGCGGUGGAAAGCAAACUAGUCCUGAUGGUGUAAUCGAUCUGAAGCGUGAAGUCUAUGGGGUUAGUUUUAGUGUCCCUGUUCUGAUUGUGAGUGGUCAAAAGGACCCAAUCAUACUUGGAACUAAUGUCUUGAAACCUCUAAUAAGUCAGAUGAAGCGUACAGACCAAUUUUGGAGAGUGGUGAAUAGACCUGACUCGGCUAUACAGUCUGACAAUAGCAAAUUUUUACGUAUGCUUUCAUGUAUAGAGAGAUGGAGGAGUGAUUCAAUUCCUGACCGAGGUCAUCGGUGACACUGCAGCCUAUGAGCGAACACCUUGUCUGGGGUCGUUUACCUCCGGGAUCAGUACUGUCAAUAGGGAGCACAGUAAUCAUCGAGCCAAGUACUUCGCGUUGUGUGCAUCGGAACGUCUUGGUUGGGAGGGUUGUAUCACCUUUGUGGGGUGAUGGCUGGCUUCCAGUAAAGAUGAUCAACCCGACCAGUGCAGAAAUUGUGCUGAGGGAAAAUGCAAAGGUGGCUUAUGUGUACCCUUGCAUUGCUUUGGAGGACCUUGCACAAAGCACUGACGUGAUAGUUAGCCAAAAUGCAGGCGCGGUAUGUUCUGACAGGUCGUGUGGCAGCGUAAUGUCGAGGGCCUCUACAUCUGCAGCAAGUUUGGUAGGUGACAGCAGAUUGCAUGACCUGGGGCUGAACGAUCUGAAUGUCAGGGAUUGCGAAGUGUCUCCCUUUUGGAAGAACAAGCUCAUUGAUCUGGUCGAAAACUGAGUGUGUGUUUUCUAGGCACAGUUUGGACUGUGGCGAAGCGAAGGGCUUUUGUCAUCGUGUCAGAGUUACAGAUGACGGGCCCUUUCGUCUUCCAUAUCGCCGUCUAUCUCCCGCACAUUAUUUGAAGUUGAAAGAGACUUUAGACGAAAUGGAGGAGAAGGAAAUUAUGAGAAAGUCGAGCAGUGAGUUUAAAUCGCCAAAAAAAUGGUGAUUUAAGGAUAUGCACUGAUUUCCGAUGGCUGAAUGCGCGCACAGUGAAGGAUGCUCACCCCCUUCCUCACCAAGCUGAUGUGUUGGCGGCUUUGGGGGGGAACGCAUACAUUAGCACCAUGGACCUGACUUCCGGGUACUACAACAUUCCAUUACACGAAGAUGAUAAAUUCACUGCUUUCUGUUCACCCUUGGGGCACAAAUAUAAUCGGUUGCCUCAAGGAUUGUGCAACAGUCCAGCAACAUUUAUGAGGAUGAUGUUGACUGUGUUUGGUGACCAGAAUUUCUUGAGCCUUUUGUGUUAUCUGGAUGAUUUGUUAGUUUUUGGGAAGACUGAAGAGGAGAGUUUGGAAGGGCUCGAGAUGGUGUUUCGGCGUCUGAAAGACCACAAUUUGAAACUGUCUCCUUCAAAAUGUUGAUUUUUGGUCAUAUCGUGUGAAGAAGGGGUCGCCAGUGAUCCAGCAAAAAUUGAAGCCAUUGUGAGUGUAGCUGAGAAAGAUUUGAUGGAGAAUGACAGUGUUACACCAGCAGCGAGUAAAAUCGGGUCCUUUUUAGGCAUGGUGGUGUACUACCAGCACUUCAUAGAGAAUUGCUCUUCAGUGGCUAAACCCUUGUUUCAGCUUUUGACAGGUCAGAAAAGACCUAGGAUGUGGAGAGGAGUGAAGCGGCUGAAAGGAAGUUGUACUCUUUCUCCAUCAGUUUGGACUGAUGACUGCAGGCCUAGAGAAUUUUGAAGACUGCCUUGGUUAGUCAGGUUUUGCUCGCUCACCCAGAUUUUUCGAAGCCGUUUCUGUUGUCUGUGGAUGGCUCAACUAGUGGGCUUGGUGCCGUUUUGUCACAGGAUCAGGAGGGGAGUGCUGUGGCAAGGCCCAUUGUGUUCGCGUCAAAAUCUUUGAAUCAUGCUCAGUCAAAGUACCCAGCACACAGACUUGAGUUUUUGGCGAUGAAGUGGGCUAUUUGUGAUAAGUUCAGUCAUUGGCUCAGGGGACACAGGUUUACUGUGUGGACUGAUAAUAACCCACUUAAGUACAUUCUCACAAAACCCAAGCUGGAUGCAUGUGAACAGCGGUGGGUAGCGAAGCUGUCGCCAUAUGAUUUUGACAUUCAAUACGUUCCCGGACCGAAAAAUGUGGUGGCAGACGCAUUAAGCAGGCAGCCAUUUGCGACUUCGAGAAUUCUGCAUAGAUUGACUAGAACAUCUUAUGACAUUUUGCUGCAUGAGGCCAAGUCUGUUGCUGUAAAGCAGGUGCAGGAUAUGUUCCAUCUUUCAUGUGAACGAAGGCAGUUUGAUGGCUAAGCAGAGGAUGGACUCUCAGAGCAUACAGAUGGUGGUGAAAAUGUGUAUGUUGGGUCCACUUACCUUACUGGGGCAGUCUCUCGUCAAGAUUUGUCAGCUGUUCUUCAGUCUCACCAGUGCUGGGAGCAUGGUGCAGCCAUUAGGAGUAUGGCAUAUGUGCAGGAUUUAGAGAGCUUGGUGGACGUAGAGCAGAGUAAACUGGGUAGUCUUACCCAUGAUGAAUUGCUGGAAAAGCAGAGUCAAGAUCCUGUGAUUGACAGAGUGAAAUUCUUUUUGGAUAGAGGAAGACGACCCUCUCGCAGAGAAAGUGUAUGAGUCUAAAAGAACUAUGAAAAUUUUGCGGCAGUGGGGUAAACUUGCCUUGAAGUUGGGUAUUCUUUAUAGAAUCUCAAAGAAUCCGGUGUCUAAGAAACAAACUUACCAGUUUGUUGUGCCAACAGCUCUUCGAAGUACUGUCCUGAAGGGUGUGCAUAAUAACGCUGGUCAUCAGGGUCAGCAUCGCACCCUCUGGUGGCCCAGACAGCGGUUCUUCUGGGAGUCUAUGGAGGGAGACAUAAAGAAAUAUGUUAAUGAGUGCCAGAGGUGCGUUUUGAGUAAAAGGCCUGAGCCUGAGGCAAGGGCUCCACUUGUGUCAAUUCAGACAAGUGCUCCGCUAGAAAUGGUGUGUCUUGACUUUUGGUCAGCGGAGGAUUCUAACAAGAAGUUGGUUGAUGUGUUAGUGAUCACUGACCAUUUCACGAAGUUUGCCUGCACUUAUGUGUGUCCAAACCAAACUACAGAAGUGGUUGCGCAUCUGGUGGAACAAGUUUUUCUGCAUUUAUGUGUUCCCGGGUCGCAUACAUUCCGACAGAGGUACUAACUUUGAGAGCUCUUUGAUGGUUGAGCUGUUGAGAUUGUCUGGUGUGAGGAAAAUCGCACGGGGAAUGGACGAACGGAAAGAUUUAACCGUACCCUGGGUGAUAUGAUCCGUUCGCUUCCUCCGAGAUCCAAAGUUAACUGGCCGCAGAUGUUGAACACACAUACAAUUGUACAAGGCAUGAGACCACUGGGUAUCCACCGUUUUUCUUGAUGUUUGGACGAACACCAAGAUUACCAGUGGAUGUCCUGUUUGAAAGUGUCAUUUUGGUUGAGACCGUUGAAGUUCACAAGUAUGUUCAGUCACUUAAGAAAGACUUGAGGGAAACAAUGUCAGUUGCUCAAGAACAUGCCAAACGCCAACAGACUAAACAAGCUGAGUAUUAUGACCGUAAAGGAAAAGGGCAUUCUCUUGAGUUGGGUGACCGAGUACUUCUUGCGAAUAAAGGGGGAUGUGGGAAAAGGAAACUAGCGGACCGAUGGGAGAUGGUGGUAUAUGUUGUGGGCAGAAGUGACACUUUGAACACGUAUAAGAUAAGAAACCCUGGGACAGGUCAAAUCAAGACGGUACAUCGUAAACUGUUGAUGCCUGUCAACUUCCUGCCGGUGCCCGCUUGGAAUGAAGACGGUGAUAGCGAUGACAGUGUUGAAAUUUCCUCUGCCUGUGUUUCUUGUGAUGAAGAUAAUCAAACUCAGAGUGGAGAUCGAACUUCUCGUUGGGUGGCCGAUCUUAAAGCUGCCUCAGAUGUGAUGAGAAAAGAGUGUGUUGAGUGUUUCAGUGUUGAUCAGAGUGAUGCUCUUUGACACGGUUGUGGAGUGUGACACUGAGAUGGACGGAGUACGAGUGCAUAAGAGAAGUUCUGACAACUUAGCCAGUCCAGUUCUGUCAGUAUGUUCAUUGGUGUCUGAUGAUUCUUCUGUAUCGGCAGUUCUGAGUGAUGAGUGUACUUCCACUAGCAUGAUAAUCCAGCUGUUACAGAAACUCCUACGACAGUGUCAAGUGAGCAAGAUCUGAGUGUAAGAGAAUCAAAUGGUCAAGAUGGUUUUAGGUCAAGAUUUGGGAGACUCAUUAAGCCAGUUAACAGGCUUAUACAGUCAAUGUCUACACAGAGAGUACAUGCAAUUCAUGUAAUUUAAAGUGUUGAAUGAAAAUUAAGUGUUGAUAAAUUGUUGGGACAUUUGUUUUGUUUUUGUUGACUACAUAUUUUGGAUGAUGUACAUUUAUGGGUACAAUUGUUAAUGUCAUGUAUUGAACUAUGCGAAAGGCAUGGUUUUCUGUGGGUAAUUUGGGAUAGGAUUAGCUACCCCUGGAUUACCUUAAUCUCGGAAGAGAUAGUUGAGCACUGAACAGAUCUAAUGUGAUCUCAGAAUAAGUGACAUUUUUAAUUUGCUAAGACUUUGUAUGUAAUUCAUAAUCUGGUGUAAAACAGUGGGGGUGGAUGUAGCAGGGUUAUGUUGUUGCACCAGAUUAUAAAUUUUAGUUAUUUACUUUAUUUUAUUUUAUUUUUAAUAAUUAUUUGUUAGGGGGUAUUUUAUUUUGAAAGAAGGGUGUUCACUCUUAUUAAAGGUAAUAGUCACAUUACAGAGAGGUACAAAUCACAGCGCAAUAGGAAGUCGUCCUGUUUCCUGCGAUGUCACUAGAGAGGAGAGGUAAGAUCAACUGUGAAAAAGUAUUCCAUAUGAUGUUAUAUCUGACCAUUAGUUCGAGUUAUCAAUAGGUUAAAUGAAGUUUAUUUGAGUGCUGUUAAUGGGUGUAAAUAAUAUAUAAUGCAUAUAUAUGUGUGUGUUUGUGUAUAAUUAUAUAUAUAUAUAUA